UCGCUCCAUGGAUAUGGUGUGACACCUUUUUAUUGGCAUGCAAUGCAUGCAACUGGCUACUAUGAUUACGACGUCCCCGCAGUAAAGGAGCUUCGCCCCUAAAAGAAAGAGAGAAAAAGAAAAGGAGAAAGAAUUACAAGUGCUCUCGGAGCCUUGCCACAUUAAUAAGGUCGACCAGUGUUGACAAGACAUAUUUAACGUCAUUGCACCAGUAGCGAUUGAAAAGCAGAUGCUCGGAUGUUGUCCUUGGGAGGCCAAGCUUAGCGUAGACUACCAGGAGAUUGCUUCUGGCCCCGCUGAAAACAGGACAAUGGAGCAGGAGAUCGAUAAUUCAGAGUUUCUGUAUUUUCACGGUCAACACAGGAACCAAUGCCUUGUCCGAUGAGCCGAUGAGUGCGUCUCGAGGCGUGAGGGAGUCCUUUAAGUGGGAGUGGUUGGGGCCACUUGCCGGUCACUGUGUUCGUAUAUUGGGGCUUUACUUUGCACCAUUUUUGUCUCUGAAACGCCAUGAGUUCGUGACUUAUAGUUUGUGCGCUAUUGCAGAUUGAAAGAAUCCUGCCAGAUUUCGAGUGCCACACCUCUGGAUGCAAGCUCCUUGACCCAACUACAAACCAGCCGUCCAUGUCAAAGAUCUGGACAUGGUGAACAGCUUCGUGAGUUGGGACAUCCUGACUGCCGGAAGUCAGGUCAACAGUGAAGGAAACGACGAGGCCGCCAGCGGUCAUCAUGAGCUUGAUGGAAGCGGACGCUGGACUUGGUUGACCGGUGGACUUCAGUGGCAUGCUGUGGCCCUUGCCUCGAAACACCCGUUUGCACUCCUGUUUACGCGGACCUCUCGUGAACCGUUUCUCGGGUCGAACGGGGAACAAUACAGCAUCUAUGAACACUCAUACGAAGAUAUUGCAUCUAGUCUGUAUUCACUCCGAAGUGCGUGUAUGUUGCCGCACAGAACUCUAAGUCACACUUGGGUAAAUACCGAGUCCAGCAGGAAAUGUUUCAACAAACUGACGUCCAUAUCUUCGAGCGCCAUUUGCGGUAAACCACGUGGCGUGCUUGUCGUAGAGUGCUGGUAUUAUUAUUUAGGCUUAUUGUGUUUUAACAGCGAGUUAUGCUUCUAUACAGCGAUGUCGGUUGUGCUCCACUAUUUCCCUGCCUACAGAUUGACGUGGGACCACGUCACACAGCCGCUUCGCAAGCAUCGCUAAGAUAAACUCUAUCCUCUUGCUGCGCAAUUCCUUAAUGUGUGAAUGCACACAUUUGGAAUCGCAGGCUUCAGAAAAAGAAUAACUAAAGAGCACUGUGAUGAAGCACUGCGCUGACAGUGGUAGAGAUCACUUGCAAUCAAACUGAAUUAUGUUAGAAGCUGUUUGUACAGUACUCGUAAAACAGGCAAGACAAGUGUCUGAUUUACCUCGUUUCUGCGCCAUCUCCUUUGCAAAGCGUCAGCCAAUACCCAUACUGUGAGCCUUCGAUGGCACGUGAUCUUAUGCGGGCUUUGGCUGACACGCAGUUGAAAGUGAUAGAGGUACGAUUUUAUAGACACGUCAUGUCAUAAUGUGUUGGCGACAUGAUGUGAGCUGUGAUACCACAGAAUAUACCGAAACUCCUCUCUACUUGCGGCAAAGGUAAAUAAUUUGAAAACCGAGAAAAAGUCCGUGUCACAUUGUAUAAGUUUGAACGGUGUGUUUGAACCAUGUUGUGUUUUAAUCACGAUGAUCUUGACAAUAAUUGUGAAGGCUUUGUUCACUUCAAAUGGAGAUAUUCAGCCAAUGUAAUUGAGCGACGAUUCUGUGCUCUCCAUAAGGUGUCCGUUGCAAUGUUUUUUUAAUAAAAGAAAUAUCGCAAUGAUAUUGCGUGGUGUAUAUGAGGAAAAUCCACAGGAAAUGUGCUCGUAAAACGAAGAACCGAAUACGCGAAUAUUUGUGUCAAGAUCAAGGUUGAGGUCACAAUGUUAUUGUUUCAUGGCCUAUUGUAUGUAUUAAAGUUAUUUACUUUCUCUUGUUCAAAA